GAGGGCCCAUGCCAAACUUCAAGAACUAUGUUAACUAAAGAAAAAUCACAUGAAACUGGACUCAACAAGUUACUAAUUAGCUGCCGAACUCUUGGCUUCUCAAUUUUAUUUAUGAAUCGUCUUGAUAACGGCUCAGACACAGGAAGAGCCCGGGCAUCAUCCAAAUAACCAUUCAAUACAUUCAGUUGCUCACUAAUAAAAGCAUCCUCCUUUAGCUGUAACUCAUAGUUAAGCAAGAAGUUGGCAUGUUCUCUCAAGCAAUGCUUGAAGAUUGGUGGAGCUGCAGCCUUGAAUGCUU
rnacentral:misc_RNA from 1 species